rnacentral:rRNA from 1 species
UGGGGAAUUUUGGACAAUGGGCGCAAGCCUGAUCCAGCAAUGCCGCGUGCAGGAUGAAGGCCUUCGGGUUGUAAACUGCUUUUGUACGGAACGAAAAAGCUCUCUCUAAUACAGGGGGUGAAUGACGGUACCGUAAGAAUAAGCAUCGGCUAACUACGUGCCAGCAGCCGCGGUAAUACGUAGGGUGCAAGCGUUAAUCGGAAUUACUGGGCGUAAAGCGUGCGCAGGCGGUUUUGUAAGACAGAGGUGAAAUCCCCGGGCUCAACCUGGGAACUGCCUUUGUGACUGCAAAGCUGGAGUGCGGCAGAGGGGGAUGGAAUUCCGCGUGUAGCAGUGAAAUGCGUAGAUAUGCGGAGGAACACCGAUGGCGAAGGCAAUCCCCUGGGCCUGCACUGACGCUCAUGCACGAAAGCGUGGGGAGCAAACA